rnacentral:rRNA from 1 species
AUUGAACGCUGGCGGCAUGCUUUACACAUGCAAGUCGAACGGUAACAGGCCGCAAGGUGCUGACGAGUGGCGAACGGGUGAGUAAUGCAUCGGAACGUGCCCAGUCGUGGGGGAUAACGCAGCGAAAGCUGCGCUAAUACCGCAUACGAUCUAUGGAUGAAAGCGGGGGACCGUAAGGCCUCGCGCGAUUGGAGCGGCCGAUGUCAGAUUAGGUAGUUGGUGGGGUAAAGGCUCACCAAGCCAACGAUCUGUAGCUGGUCUGAGAGGACGACCAGCCAGACGGGGACUGAGACACGGCCCAGACUCCUACGGGAGGCAGCAGUGGGGAAUUUUGGACAAUGGGCGCAAGCCUGAUCCAGCAAUGCCGCGUGCAGGAAGAAGGCCUUCGGGUUGUAAACUGCUUUUGUACGGAACGAAACGGCCCUGGUUAAUACCUGGGGCUAAUGACGGUACCGUAAGAAUAAGCACCGGCUAACUACGUGCCAGCCGCCGCCGUAACAC